UACGAAGGGGGCUAGCGUUGUUCGGAAUUACUGGGCGUAAAGCGCACGUAGGCGGACUACUAAGUCAGGGGUGAAAUCCCGGGGCUCAACCCCGGAACUGCCUUUGAUACUGAUAGUCUCGAGUCCGGAAGAGGUGAGUGGAAUUCCGAGUGUAGAGGUGAAAUUCGUAGAUAUUCGGAGGAACACCAGUGGCGAAGGCGGCUCACUGGUCCGGUACUGACGCUGAGGUGCGAAAGCUAGGGGAGCAAACGGG
rnacentral:rRNA from 1 species